UACAGAGACUGCAAGCGUUAUUCGGAUUCACUGGGCGUAAAGGGUGCGCAGGCGGCCGUGUGUGUGAGGCGUGAAAGCCCGGGGCUUAACCCUGGAAUUGCACCUCAAACUACAUGGCUAGAGCAUUGGAGAGGGUAGCAGAAUUCAUGGUGUAGCAGUGAAAUGCGUAGAUAUCAUGAGGAAUACCAGAGGCGAAGGCGGCUACCUGGACAAUUGCUGACGCUCAGGCACGAAAGCGUGGGGAGCAAAAGGG
rnacentral:rRNA from 1 species